CUAUAAUUAAUAAGAAAAACAAAAAUUUAUUCAAUUUCUAUAUUAAGGUAUAUACGAUUACUAACAAUUACAACUUCAUGCCAUUGAGUGUCGGACAAAUCCAAACUGAAAUCUGCUUUAUAGCAUUUUGCUUAGCUUUUUUGGGUUAUUGUGGGAAACUUGUAACCUAAAACAUAAGAGCGAUAACGAUUUGAUGCAAUCUUUGCCUUCCUCCAACUUAUAAAUAGCAGUCUUAUCCGAAUCCCUACCACUAAAUACUGGCAACGAUAACAAGGAUUUAGGCUCGCUACAAUACUUGUCCUUCUUUCAGACAUCACACUUAGCAAUAUACAUUAUUUCCUAACUAAAAACUAUUUACUAAAUGCAGAUCGUUUAUAAAAUAGGCUACUGGAAAAUACAAUCCUGUUUAAUCCUUGCACUUUAGCGAAACAACUUCGGGUUUUAUCGAAAGCUUGCUUUUGCUUCUAGAGAUUCUUCUUAAUAUCAACAGAUCUCAACUUAACCCAGAAAUUUUAACUUCCUCUGUUCACAUUCCAACAAAUUACUUUAAUAAAGUUGCUUAAAAACAUACUUAAUUACAAUUUAGGACAUAAAGCCCAAUGGAAGGUUAAGGGACUCGAACCCUUGACCCUCGGCUUUGCAAAGCCGAUGCUCUAGCCAACUGAGCUUAACCCCCCAAAUGACCUAAACUUAAGUCUAAGUUUAACAAAGCUCUUUAAUAUAAAAA
rnacentral:misc_RNA from 1 species